rnacentral:rRNA from 1 species
AGCGAACGCUGGCGGCAGGCUUAACACAUGCAAGUCGUGCGGGCGUAGCAAUACGUCAGCGGCAGACGGGUGAGUAACGCGUGGGAACAUACCUUUUGGUUCGGAACAACACAGGGAAACUUGUGCUAAUACCGGAUAAGCCCUUACGGGGAAAGAUUUAUCGCCGAAAGAUUGGCCCGCGUCUGAUUAGCUAGUUGGUGAGGUAACGGCUCACCAAGGCGACGAUCAGUAGCNGGUCUGAGAGGAUGAUCAGCCACAUUGGGACUGAGACACGGCCCAAACUCCUACGGGAGGCAGCAGUGGGGAAUAUUGGACAAUGGGCGCAAGCCUGAUCCAGCCAUGCCGCGUGAGUGAUGAAGGCCCUAGGGUUGUAAAGCUCUUUUGUGCGGGAAGAUAAUGACGGUACCGCAAGAAUAAGCCCCGGCUAACUUCGUGCCAGCCGCCGCCGU